rnacentral:snRNA from 1 species
ACAUCCCUACUCUCCGACUUUAAA